AGAGUUUGAUCCUGGCUCAGGACGAACGCUGGCGGCGUGCCUAAUACAUGCAAGUCGUACGCUUCUUUUUCCACCGGAGCUUGCUCCACCGGAAAAAGAGGAGUGGCGAACGGGUGAGUAACACGUGGGUAACCUGCCCAUCAGAAGGGGAUAACACUUGGAAACAGGUGCUAAUACCGUAUAACAAUCGAAACCGCAUGGUUUUGAUUUGAAAGGCGCUUUCGGGUGUCACUGAUGGAUGGACCCGCGGUGCAUUAGCUAGUUGGUGAGGUAACGGCUCACCAAGGCCACGAUGCAUAGCCGACCUGAGAGGGUGAUCGGCCACAUUGGGACUGAGACACGGCCCAAACUCCUACGGGAGGCAGCAGUAGGGAAUCUUCGGCAAUGGACGAAAGUCUGACCGAGCAACGCCGCGUGAGUGAAGAAGGUUUUCGGAUCGUAAAACUCUGUUGUUAGAGAAGAAUAAGGAUGAGAGUAACUGUUCAUCCCUUGACGGUAUCUAACCAGAAAGCCACGGCUAACUACGUGCCAGCAGCCGCGGUAAUACGUAGGUGGCAAGCGUUGUCCGGAUUUAUUGGGCGUAAAGCGAGCGCAGGCGGUUUCUUAAGUCUGAUGUGAAAGCCCCCGGCUCAACCGGGGAGGGUCAUUGGAAACUGGGAGACUUGAGUGCAGAAGAGGAGAGUGGAAUUCCAUGUGUAGCGGUGAAAUGCGUAGAUAUAUGGAGGAACACCAGUGGCGAAAGCGGCUCUCUGGUCUGUAACUGACGCUGAGGCUCGAAAGCGUGGGGAGCA
rnacentral:rRNA from 1 species